rnacentral:rRNA from 1 species
GACGAACGCUGGCGGCGUGCUUAACACAUGCAAGUCGAACGAAGUGGCGCACGGGUGAGUAACGCGUAAUCAACCUGCCCUUCAGAGGGGGACAACAGUUGGAAACGACUGCUAAUCCCGCAUACUGAAGGCGGGGCUUGCGUCUGAUUAGCUAGUUGGAGGGGUAACGGCCCACCAAGGCGAUGAUCAGUAGCCGGUCUGAGAGGAGGAACGGCCACAGUGGGACUGGGACACGGCCCAGACUCCUACGGGAGGCAGCAGUGGGGAAUCUUCCGCAAUGGACGAAAGUCUGACGGAGCAACGCCGCGUGAGUGAGGACGGCCUUCGGGUUGUAAAGCUCUGUUAAUCGGGACGCGGUACCGGAAUAGAAAGCCACGGCUAACUACGUGCCAGCAGCCGCGGUAAUUC